rnacentral:rRNA from 1 species
UGUGAACGUUACCAAACUGUUGCCUCGGCGGGAUCUCUGCCCCGGGUGCGUCGCAGCCCCGGACCAAGGCGCCCGCCGGAGGACCAACCAAAACUCUUAUUGUAUACCCCCUCGCGGGUUUUUUUUAUAAUCUGAGCCUUCUCGGCGCCUCUCGUAGGCGUUUCGAAAAUGAAUCAAAACUUUCAACAACGGAUCUCUUGGUUCUGGCAUCGAUGAAGAACGCAGCGAAAUGCGAUAAGUAAUGUGAAUUGCAGAAUUCAGUGAAUCAUCGAAUCUUUGAACGCACAUUGCGCCCGCCAGUAUUCUGGCGGGCAUGCCUGUCCGAGCGUCAUUUCAACCCUCGAACCCCUCCGGGGGGUCGGCGUUGGGGAUCGGCCCUGCCUUGGCGGUGGCCGUCUCCGAAAUACAGUGGCGGUCUCGCCGCAGCCUCUCCUGCGCAGGAGUGUGCACACUCGGAUCGGGAGCGCGGCGCGUCCACAGCCGUUAAACACCCAACUUCUGAAAUGUUGACCUCGGAUCAGGUAGGAAUACCCGCUGAACAUUAAGCAUAUCAAUAAGGCGGAGGGAA